UUGGAAUAAUAAAAUGGUAUUUGGCAGUUGACAUACAUGAGACACAUCCAUUGCCAUGGUUGUGCGCAAAAGCCUGAGCCAGAGGUUACUCUUCUAUGAGACAGAGUUUAAAACACAAUCCCUUCUACACCAGAGGUAAUUCGUAAAUAUUUAUUGCUAAAGUCUUCAGAUGUAAACAGGAUGGCAAAUACAGAACCAAUCAUCACGCCUAUUAUUUGACCAGAUGUAUUGCAUGUAGAUGCAUAGCCUACGUUAUUCCUCAUUGUCAAAGCCCAACCAUCAACAGCUAUAUCCUGAGUGGCGGAUAAGAAGUUUGUAAUAAAGAAGAGAUAUACCAGUACCAUAACGUUUGG